AUUGAACGCUGGCGGCAGGCCUAACACAUGCAAGUCGAGCGGAUGACGGGAGCUUGCUCCUUGAUUCAGCGGCGGACGGGUGAGUAAUGCCUAGGAAUCUGCCUGGUAGUGGGGGACAACGUUUCGAAAGGAACGCCAAUACCGCAUACGUCGUACGGCAGAAAGCAGGGGACCUUCGGGUCUUGCGCUAUCAGAUGAGCCUAGGUCGGAUUAGCUAGUUGGUGGGGUAAUGGCUCACCAAGGCGACGAUCCGUAACUGGUCUGAGAGGAUGAUCAGUCACACUGGAACUGAGACACGGUCCAGACUCCUACGGGAGGCAGCAGUGGGGAAUAUUGGACAAUGGGCGAAAGCCUGAUCCAGCCAUGCCGCGUGUGUGAAGAAGGUCUUCGGAUUGUAAAGCACUUUAAGUUGGGAGGAAGGGCAGUAAGUUAAUACCUUGCUGUUUUGACGUUACCGACAGAAUAAGCACCGGCUAACUCUGUGCCAGCAGCCGCAGUAA
rnacentral:rRNA from 1 species